UGCGCAGGCGGAUUAAUAAGUCGGGGGUUAAAUCCAUGUGCUUAACACAUGCACGGCUUCCGAUACUGUUGAUCUAGAGUCUCGAAGAGGAAGGUGGAAUUUCCGGUGUAACGGUGGAAUGUGUAGAUAUCGGAAAGAACACCAGUGCGAAGGCAGCCUUCUGGUCGAGUACUGACGCUCAUGCACGAAAGCGUGGGGAGCAAACA
rnacentral:rRNA from 1 species